UUCGGGUCUAGUGGCGCACGGGUGCGUAACGCGUGGGAAUCUGCCCUUCGGUUCGGAAUAACUUAGGGAAACUUGAGCUAAUACCGGAUGAUGACUUCGGUCCAAAGAUUUAUCGCCGAGGGAUGAGCCCGCGUAGGAUUAGCUAGUUGGUGAGGUAAAGGCUCACCAAGGCGACGAUCCUUAGCUGGUCUGAGAGGAUGAUCAGCCACACUGGGACUGAGACACGGCCCAGACUCCUACGGGAGGCAGCAGUGGGGAAUAUUGGACAAUGGGCGAGAGCCUGAUCCAGCAAUGCCGCGUGAGUGAUGAAGGCCUUAGGGUUGUAAAGCUCUUUUACCCGGGAUGAUAAUGACAGUACCGGGAGAAUAAGCCCCGGCUAACUCCGUGCCAGCAGCCGCGGUAAUACGGAGGGGGCUAGCGUUGUUCGGAAUUACUGGGCGUAAAGCGCACGUAGGCGGCUUUGUAAGUUAGAGGUGAAAGCCCGGGGCUCAACUCCGGAAUUGCCUUUAAGACUGCAUCGCUAGAAUUGUGGAGAGGUGAGUGGAAUUCCGAGUGUAGAGGUGAAAUUCGU
rnacentral:rRNA from 1 species